GUCUAUGGCCAUGCCACUCUGAAUACCCCUGAUCUCGGAAGUUAAGCAGGGUCGGGCCUGGUUAGUACUUGGAUGGGAGAUUCAGUGGGAGGCACCAAAAGCAGAGAUG
rnacentral:rRNA from 1 species